AUGUGUGAAUUAAUGCAAAAAGUGGAUGCCUAGGCUUGUUUGGCCGAUGAAGGACGCUAAGCCCGCGAAAGUUAACGGUUAGCUGGCAAAAAGCGCUUGACCCGUUAGUGUCCGAAUGGGGAAACCCGGUUUUGUGAAAGCAAAAUUACUGUGCUGUUUACAGCACGGGGGUAAGUCGGGGAACUGAAAUAUCUUAGUACCCGGAGGAAAAGAAAUCGUAAGAGAUUCCCUUAGUAAGCGACGAGCGAACAGGGAAAAGCCCAAACCAUGUUUUUACAUGGGGUUGUAGGACUCUCACCCGGAGCGUAGCGGAUAGCAGAAUACUAUUGAAUAAGUAACCAAAGAACGUGAAAGUCGUGUAAGCGAAAUCCAAAGCAAUCUCGAGAGAUUCCUGAAUAGGGCGGGAGACGGCAAACUCCCGUCUUAAGCUGGGGUGACCACACUCCAAGGCUAAAUACCAAACAAGACCGAUAGUGAACGAGUACCGUGAGGGAAAGGUGAAAAGAAGGGUGGAAGACCCAAUGAAAUAGUUUCUGAAACUUUUUGCUAACAAACAGAGAGAGCCCCGUCCCGCUUUGCGGGACGAGGGUGAUCUCGUGCCUAUUGAAGAAUGAGCCGGCGAGUGUUCGGUAACUGCAAGGCUAAGAGAUUUUCAUCUCGAAGUCGUAGUGAAAGCGAGUUUCUUUUGUCCCGCUUAGCGGGACAAAAGAACGUGCCUGAAUAGGGCGCAAGUAGUUACUGAAUGACCCGAACCCAGGUGAGCUAUCCGUGACCAGGGCGAACCGCAUCGAGAGAUGUGGGAAGGCCCGCACCGGUGACUGCUGCAAGAGUCUCGGAUGAGCUGCGGAUAGGGGUAAUAUGCCAAUCGAACCUGGAGCUAGCUGGUUCUCCCCGAAAUAUAUCUAGGUAUAGGGUCACAUUAUAGGCUGGUGGGGGUAGAGCACUGAUCGGGUGUCCGGGGGGAAACCUCCAACAUCUAGUCAAACUCCGAAUACCAUCAGUUCUGAUGUGGCACUCAGUACUCGGAAGCUAAGUUCCGAGGGCGAGCAGGGUAACAUCCCAAACCCACAGUUAAGGUCUCAAAUAAAUGUUUAGUGGAAAAGGAAGUGUAGAUCCUAAGACAACUAGGAGGUCGGCUUAGAAGCAGCCAUCCUUUAAAGAAAGCGUAACAGCUCACUAGCCGCAGGAUUUAUGCGCCGAAAAUAAUCGAGGCUCAAACAUUUAACCGAAGCUUGGGGUUUUAAUCUUUAGAUUAAAGCGGUAGGGGAGCGUUCUGUGUGCAUUGAAGGUCAGCCGUAAGGACUGGCUGGAGCGAUCAGAAGUGAGAAUGCCGGCAUGAGUAACGAUAUUGAAGUGAGAAUCUUCGACUCCGAAUGUCCAAGGUUUCCGCACCCACGUUCGUCGAGUGCGGGUUAGGCGACCCUAAGGUCAGUCCUGCUCAGCAGGAGUAGCCGAUGGAUUACCGGUUAAUAUUCCGGUCCUGAGUUUAGUUCGUUAUCAACUGGGGAAUGACGGUGCAGGAUAGCAUUUAUCAAGAUGUGAAGUCUUGAUCUAAUCAUCAAACAAGUCUGGAUUGGAAAAUCCGUUCAGACGACCCUCCUUAACACGGAAAAUAUGUGAGAUGUGAUGGGACUUACCAAGCUUUUGCGCGGUAGGUUAAAUGUGAGUUCAGCAUCCUGGAAAAGUUUCGCAGUGAGAAUUAAAUUCAUUCGUACCUAUAACCGACACAGGUGGACAGGUCGAGCAGACCAAGGAGAGCGAGAGAAACUAGUUUAAGGAACUCAGCAAAACAGCUGGGCGUAAUUUCGAGAGAUGCCCUUCCAGCCGUAAGGCUGGACGCAGCUAAAGUUGUUUCGUCGACUGUUUACCAAAAACACAGGUCUGUGCAAACUCGAAAGAGGAAGUAUACGGGCUGAUACCUGCCCGGUGCUGGAAGGUUACGGAAGCGGGUUUUAACUUCGGUUAAGGCUUGCGACUUAAGCCCCAGUGAACGGCAGCAGUAACUAUGAAAAGUCGUAGUUCUAAAACUUGGCUAUAUGCUGGAACAUCUCGUUAGGUUGUUUGUACUUGGUGCAAUAAAAGCUUAUUGCAAGAAAUUUUUAGCAAUGGUCUAAUUAAUCCAAGUGAAAAUCAAACAAAUAGAGACAAUCAGCAGGAAAGACUAUCAAUGACGACAUCCAACAAAAUACCAUCCAAUGUAGCUUGGUACUUAUCAGGCUUUGUUGAUGGUGAAGGAAGCUUUAAUAUUUCUUUGAGAAAGAAAAGUGAUUACAGAAUUGGUUGGCAGCCGGUUCUAAGCUUUAACGUUUCUCAGAGAGAAAGAACCUUGUUAGAUUUGAUGAAGAGUUAUUAUCAUUGUGGAAUUAUUAAGCGUCGACGAGACGGUCUCCACUCAUAUGAUGUAACGAAUCCAUCAGACCUGAAGAGAAAAAUAAUUCCUUUCUUUGAUCAAUACCUAUUUCUAUCUAAGAGAAAGCAAACAAAUUAUCUGCUCUUUAAAGAAGCAGUAGACUUGAUGCUUUCAAAAGAACAUUUAGAACUUGAGGGGUUUAAAAGACUUCUCGAUAUAAGAGAGUCUAUAAAUGAAGGAAAAGGAAGAACCAGAAAAUAUUCAAAGCAGGAUGUCCUCAAAUUGAUAGAAUCCCCAGAGACUAUACGCCAAGAGGCUUCAUAAAAAGCCUAUGAGAUAGUCCGACCUCUAUGGAGACAUAGAGAGCGCAGCAGAAAUGUCUGCGUCUUCUGAAAAUUAUCAGAAUGUAACAAAUGUGAACUGUUCUAAGGUAGCGAAGUACCUUGUCACUUAAUUGGUGACGCGCACGAAAGGUUUAACGAGCGAAACACUGUCUUGAACUAGUACUCGGUGAAAUUGAACGGGCCGUGAAUAUGCGGUCUACUGACGGCAGGACAAAAAGACCCCGUAGAGCUUUACUGUAGCUUGAUGCUGGUGCUUUAUUCAAAAUUGUCUAGUAUAGGUGGG
rnacentral:rRNA from 1 species